rnacentral:rRNA from 1 species
GGUGCGUACUACGCUCCUAGGCUUUUUGCUGGUUUUCCCCUCUUAGCCUUCACUGGUGGCGGCGGGUGGCUGGGAGAGUUUACUUUGAGAAAAUCAGAGCGCUCCAUACAGGCGUAUCGCUUGAAUGAUUGUGCAUGGAAUAAUAGAAAAGGAUUUCUGUCCUCUGUUCUUGGUUUUGUGGACUGACAUAAUGGUUAACAGGGACAAACGGGGGCAUUCGUAUCUCUGCGUGAGAGGUGAAAUUCUUGGACCGUAGAGAGACGCCCUACUGCGAAAGCAUUUGCCAAGAAUGUCUUCAUUAAUCAAGAACGAAAGUCAGAGGUUCUAAGGCGAUCAGAUACCGCCCUAGUUCUGACCGUAAACAGUGACCACUACCGAUCCGCCUGUGGAUUUUUAGCCCUGGUGGGUAGCUUCCCGGAAACGAAAGUCUUCCGGUUCCGGGGGAAGUAUGGUUGCAAAGCUGAAACUUAAAGGAAUUGACGGAAGGGCACCACCAGGAGUGGAGCCUGCGGCUUAAUUUGACUCAACACGGGGAAACUCACCCGGCCCGGACACCGUAAGGAUUGACAGAUUGAUAGCUCUUUCAUGAUUCGGUGGUUGGUGGUGCAUGGCCGUUCUUAGUUUGUGGAUCGAUUUGUCUGGUUUAUUCCGAUAACCAGCGAGACUCUAGCCUACUAAAUAGUAACGAGAUUAUCAAUGUCUCAGUUGCUUCUUAGAGGGAUAUUCGG